CGUGUAGGCGGGGAUGCAAGUCAGAUGUGAAAUUCCGAAGCUCAACUUCGGCGCUGCAUCUGAAACUGUAUCUCUUGAGUGCUGGAGAGGAAAGCGGAAUUCCUAGUGUAGCGGUGAAAUGCGUAGAUAUUAGGAGGAACACCAGUGGCGAAGGCGGCUUUCUGGACAGUAACUGACGCUGAGGCGCGAAAGCGUGGGGAGCGAACAG
rnacentral:rRNA from 1 species